UGGGGAAUAUUGCACAAUGGGGGAAACCCUGAUGCAGCGACGCCGCGUGAACGAAGAAGGUAUUCGUAUCGUAAAGUUCUGUCCUAUGGGAAGAUAAUGACAGUACCAUAGAAGAAAGCUCCGGCUAAAUACGUGCCAGCAGCCGCGGUAAUACGUAUGGAGCGAGCGUUGUCCGGAAUUAUUGGGCGUAAAGGGUACGCAGGCGGUUUAAUAAGUCGAAUGUUAAAGAUCGGGGCUCAACCCCGCAAAGCAUUGGAAACUGAUAAACUUGAGUAGUGGAGAGGAAAGUGGAAUUCCUAGUGUAGUGGUGAAAUAAGUAGAUAUUAGGAGGAAUACCAGUAGCGAAGGCGACUUUCUGGACACAAACUGACGAUGAGGUACGAAAGCGUGGGGAGCAAACAGG
rnacentral:rRNA from 1 species